rnacentral:rRNA from 1 species
CCUACGGGGGGCAGCAGUGGGGAAUAUUGCGCAAUGGGCGAAAGCCUGACGCAGCGACGCCGCGUGAGGGAUGAAGGUCUUCGGAUCGUAAACCUCUGUCAGGAGGGAAGAAGUGGUUAUAUGCGAAUAGUGUAUGACUUUGACGGUACCUCCAAAGGAAGCACCGGCUAACUCCGUGCCAGCAGCCGCGGUAAUACGGAGGGUGCGAGCGUUAAUCGGAAUCACUGGGCGUAAAGCGCGCGUAGGCGGCUUUUCAAGUCAGCGGUCAAAUCGUGGGGCUCAACCCCAUCCAGCCGUUGAAACUGGGGAUCUAGAGUGUGCGAGAGGUAUGCGGAAUGCGUGGUGUAGCGGUGAAAUGCAUAGAUAUCACGCAGAACCCCGAUUGCGAAGGCAGCAUACCGGGGCACAACUGACGCUCAGGCACGAAAGCGUGGGUAUCGAACAGGAUUAGAUACCCCAGUAGUC